GAGCUGCACACCAGUGCCCACGCUGCCCUGGGGCAGAGAUGAAGGGCGUGUGAGGAUCCUCUUGUCUCAUCCCUGAAUCCUCUGGACAGAGAUGCGAAGGCAGGCCUCGGAGAGCGUGUCGUGCAGGAUCUGUGGGAACAGGCUGUGAUGCAGGCAGCACAUGGGACUCCCCCAGCUGGGACCCAGGCUGGACUAUACUAGGCCCUGCUGAGUUCACUGAGGCAGAAAGGGGAGACAGGACCUCACCUGCCGGAACAGGAGGUCAAGCUGCACAGGAUGGCUGUAGCUGUCCUUGGGCCCCUCCCCUGGCUACGGCUGUGCUCGGCACCUCUUUGCGCAGGAAGAUCUUCCAGGGGGCGUCCUGAUAGCCGUAGAAGUUGGGAUUGAUGAGGCGGUGCAGCCGCGUCUGCCAGAGAAGGGGUUUCACCAUAUUGGCCAGGAUGGUCU
rnacentral:lncRNA from 1 species